rnacentral:rRNA from 1 species
GGACUCGCGUCCGAUUAGUUAGUUGGUGAGGUAACGGCUCACCAAGACCGCGAUCGGUAGCCGGACUGAGAGGUUGAACGGCCACAUUGGGACUGAGACACGGCCCAGACUCCUACGGGAGGCAGCAGUGGGGGAUAUUGCGCAAUGGGGGAAACCCUGACGCAGCAACGCCGCGUGAAGGAUGAAGGUCUUCGGAUUGUAAACUUCUUUUAUUAAGGACGAAGAAAGUGACGGUACUUAAUGAAUAAGCUCCGGCUAACUACGUGCCAGCAGCCGCGGUAAUACGUAGGGAGCAAGCGUUGUCCGGAUUUACUGGGUGUAAAGGGUGCGUAGGCGGCUUUGCAAGUCAGAUGUGAAAUCUAUGGGCUCAACCCAUAGCCUGCAUUUGAAACUGCAGAGCUUGAGUGAAGUAGAGGCAGGCGGAAUUCCCCGUGUAGCGGUGAAAUGCGUAGAGAUGGGGAGGAACACCAGUGGCGAAGGCGGCCUGCUGGGCUUUAACUGACGCUGAGGCACGAAAGCGUGGGUAGCAAACAGGAUUAGAUACCCUGGUAGUCCACGCUGUAAACGAUGAAUAGUAGGUGUGGGGGGUCUGACCCCUUCCGUGCCGGAG